AUUAAAUUUAAAAUGAUUUGAUCAUGUGUGAUUGAUUUCAGCCUUCACAAUGUUCGUCGCCAUUACUUUCCCUUUCUUCGGUGGUCUUCUAUGAUUCUUUGGAGGAUUUGCUUUUUCCCCGACUACAUAUUUUCUCCCUUGCAUUAUGUGACUUGCCAUCAAGAAACCGCGCAAGUUUAGCCUAUCUUGGAUUAUUAACUGGGUACGUACGUUUGUUCAUAUUCUGUUGUUACUGUUUCCUGCACUUUGCUAAUAACAAAACCCUUCCCAAAACCAUCGUCAUUUCUAAAUCAGCUUUCCUUAAUUGCAGAUUUGCAUUACGCUCGACGUCAUGCUGAUGAUUCUAUCACCUAUUGGAGGGUUGAGGAGUAUCAUAGUUCAAGCCAGUACCUACAAAUUCUACGACUGAUUAACAAACUUGGCACAAACAUAAGCACUUUGCCCUGAACUUCAAUGCAGGUAGAUAUGGACAGACAAGCAUAUGUUACGAAUAAGUACCAUGAUUGAACACUUACGGUUAGUGUUUAUAACGAAGUGCCAAUGGAGUUAACCAGAAGAAAACUUAUGUAACACGACUGUGUAUUUUUGCAUUGUAUGUUAGUAUUAUUGAAAUAUACUAAAUCCGCAUCUCUCUGAGAAAAGAAAAGUUUAAAUAUCUCAACCUCACUUCAACUAACACCGAGAUCUUUUGUGAUAAAACCUUAUAUCUUUUGAAUGUGGUAAUUAAUAAGUUAUAAAUCGAUUUUGUUGAAAGUUGACAUUUA